UUGCUUGCGGGUGCUUACACAUGCAGUCGAACGGUGAAGCUCCAGCUUGCUGGAGUGGAUCAGUGGCGAACGGGUGAGUAACACGUGAGCAACCUGCCCCUGACUCUGGGAUAACAGUCGGAAACGAUUGCUAAUACCGGAUAUGCACCAUGAACGCAUGUUCUGUGGUGGGAAAGAUUUUUUGGUUGGGGAUGGGCUCGCGGCCUAUCAGCUUGUUGGUGAGGUAAUGGCUCACCAAGGCGUCGACGGGUAGCCGGCCUGAGAGGGUGACCGGCCACACUGGGACUGAGACACGGCCCAGACUCCUACGGGAGGCAGCAGUGGGGAAUAUUGCACAAUGGGCGAAAGCCUGAUGCAGCAACGCCGCGUGAGGGAUGACGGCCUUCGGGUUGUAAACCUCUUUUAGCAGGGAAGAAGCGAGAGUGACGGUACCUGCAGAAAAAGCGCCGGCUAACUACGUGCCAGCAGCCGCGGUAAUACGUAGGGCGCAAGCGUUAUCCGGAAUUAUUGGGCGUAAAGAGCUCGUAGGCGGUUUGUCGCGUCUGCUGUGAAAACUGGAGGCUCAACCUCCAGCCUGCAGUGGGUACGGGCAGACUAGAGUGCGGUAGGGGAGAUUGGAAUUCCUGGUGUAGCGGUGGAA
rnacentral:rRNA from 1 species